rnacentral:tRNA from 1 species
GGAGGGGUGGCAGAGCGGUCGAAUGCGGCGGUCUCGAAAACCGUUAACGGCGGUUACGUCGUUCGAGGGUUCAAAUCCCUCCCCCUCCG